rnacentral:lncRNA from 1 species
UAACAUGGCAGGGAGUGGCAGCAUGUGAGUGUCUAAUGGCCCGCCUGUACUGUUUGCUGGAGGAAGGUCUGUGGGUGGCAUGGUGGUCCACAGGUCUCUGUCUGUCUUCCUCCUCCUGCCCUGUGCUGCCUGGGUUUGAUUUGAUUUGUUUUUCUUGAGUCUCAGGCAUAAAAGAGCUUUGGACACCAAGCCAGGCAUCAGGCUAAGAUGAACAUCUGCUCUGCCCCAACUGACAUAAGAACAUGGCCACCAACAUGGUGUCUCUUUGCCCAUUGCCAGAGUGGCAAUCUGGGACCAGAUCCAAGGACCUAAGCCCUAUUCCCACAUUUAGUCUCCAUUUUCCCUAACUGCCACAUCUACCAUUGAGUCUGGUCCACAAACUGUAGGCAUGGAAAUUCCUAGAAAGUGGAGCUGUUCCUUGUCAUCAGGGUUUCCCUUUCCUAAAAUGUCCUCCACCUGAACAUACUUAUCAUAAAGACCUACCUAUUCUUAAGUGUCCAACUGAAUCCCUGACCAUCCAGCUGAAAGCUACCUGACUGUGGAUUUCCACUGGCUUUUACACCACUCACAUGAUA